UACGUAGGGUGCGAGCGUUGUCCGGAAUUAUUGGGCGUAAAGGGCUCGUAGGCGGUUUGUCACGUCGGGAGUGAAAACUCAGGGCUCAACCCUGAGCCUGCUUCCGAUACGGGCAGACUAGAGGUAUGCAGGGGAGAACGGAAUUCCUGGUGUAGCGGUGAAAUGCGCAGAUAUCAGGAGGAACACCGGUGGCGAAGGCGGUUCUCUGGGCAUUACCUGACGCUGAGGAGCGAAAGUGUGGGGAUCAAACAGG
rnacentral:rRNA from 1 species